rnacentral:rRNA from 1 species
GACGAACGCUGGCGGCGUGCUUAACACAUGCAAGUCGAACGAUGAAGCCGGAGCUUGCUCUGGUGAAUUAGUGGCGAACGGGUGAGUAACACGUGAGUAACCUGCCCUUGACUCUGGGAUAACUGCUAGAAAUGGUAGCUAAUACCGGAUACGACCCUCGGAGGCAUCUCCAGGGGGUGGAAAGAAUUUCGGUCAAGGAUGGACUCGCGGCCUAUCAGCUAGUUGGUGAGGUAACGGCUCACCAAGGCGACGACGGGUAGCCGGCCUGAGAGGGUGACCGGCCACACUGGGACUGAGACACGGCCCAGACUCCUACGGGAGGCAGCAGUGGGGAAUAUUGCGCAAUGGGCGCAAGCCUGAUGCAGCAACGCCGCGUGAGGGAUGACGGCCUUCGGGUUGUAAACCUCUUUUAGUAGGGAAGAAGCGAAAGUGACGGUACCUGCAGAAAGAGCACCGGCUAACUACGUGCCAGCCGCCGCAGUAA